UACGAAGGGGGCUAGCGUUGCUCGGAAUCACUGGGCGUAAAGCGCACGUAGGCGGAUUGCUAAGUCAGGGGUGAAAUCCUGGAGCUUAACUCCGGAAUUGCCUUUAAAACUGCGAGGCUAGAAUCAUGGAGAGGUGAGUGGAAUUCCGAGUGUAGAGGUGAAAUUCGUAGAUAUUCGGAAGAACACCAGUGGCGAAGGCGACUCACUGGACAUGUAUUGACGCUGAGGUGCGAAAGCGUGGGGAGCAAACAGG
rnacentral:rRNA from 1 species